rnacentral:lncRNA from 1 species
AUGGAAGUCGCUCAAUAAGUUAAAUCUCUCAAGAAACAAACUUUCUGGCCUAAUUCCCAAGGCAUUAGGUUCUUUAACUAGCCUUAGUUACCUCGACCUGUCAGAAAACCAGUUCUCAGGUCAAAUUCCUCCUGAACUUGGCCAUUUGAACCUUAUUAUCCUCCAUCUUUCGUCCAACCAACUGUCUGGGAUGGUCCCCAUUGAGUUUCAACAUGAAGCAUAUGAAGACAGUUUCUUGAACAAUCCCAAGUUGUGUGUCAAUGUUCCCACUUUGAACCUCCCUAGAUGUGAUGCCAAACCCGUCAACUCCGACAAAUUGUCAACCAAAUAUCUCGUUUUCGCUCUAUCUGGUUUCCUAGCUGUUGUUUUCGUCACCCUGUCCAUGGUUCAUGUCUAUCAUAGGAAGAAUCACAAUCAGGAGCAUACAGCUUGGAAAUUUACUCCAUACCAUAAACUAGAUCUCGAUGAAUACAACAUAUUGUCCAGUUUGACAGAAAAUAAUCUGAUCGGAUGUGGUGGGUCAGGGAAAGUAUACCGAGUUGCUAAUAACCGUUCUGGUGAACUCUUAGCGGUUAAAAUGAUUUGUAAUAAUAGGAGAUUGGAUCAAAAGCUUCAGAAACAAUUCGAAACAGAAGUCAAGAUAUUGAGCACCAUACGCCAUGCCAAUAUAGUGAAGUUGUUGUGCUGCAUAUCAAAUGAAACCUCAAGUCUUCUUGUUUACGAGUACAUGCAGAAGCAGAGUUUGGAUAGAUGGCUUCAUGGGAAGAAGCAGAGAACAUCGUCCAUGACAAGUUCAGUUCAUAACUUUGUCUUGGAUUGGCCAACAAGGUUGCAGAUUGCUAUCGGAGCUGCAAAAGGCCUAUGCCACAUGCAUGAAAACUGCUCUGCCCCGAUCAUACAUCGAGAUGUGAAGUCCAGCAACAUCUUGCUAGAUGCCGAGUUCAACGCGAAAAUUGCAGAUUUUGGAUUGGCCAAGAUGUUGGUCAAGCAAGGAGAGCCAGACACCAUGUCAGGAAUUGCAGGCUCUUACGGAUAUAUUGCCCCUGGUAAGACCAUCAAGGCCCUCCUUUCCAAAUGUUUUCAUUUCCAUAAUUUAUCGAUAAGUUGUAUCAUACCAUUCUUGUAUACUUGGAUGAUAGAGUAUGCUUAUACAACAAAGGUGAACAAGAAGAUCGAUGUAUAUAGCUUUGGAGUAGUCUUGCUUGAGCUUGUGACGGGGAGAGAACCCAACAAUGGGGACGAGCACGUGUGCCUUGCAGAAUGGGCAUGGGAUCAGUUCAGAGAAGAGAAAACCAUUGAGGAAGUGAUGGAUGAGGAGAUCAAGGAAGAAUGUGAUAGAGCACAAGUGGCCACUCUCUUCAAACUAGGCAUUAGGUGCACUAACAAAUUACCAUCCAAUAGGCCCACAAUGAAAGGGGUUUUGAAAAUUCUUCAACAGUGCAGUCCUCAAGAGGGCCAUGGAAGAAAUAAAAAGGACCAUGAAGUUGCACCUCCACUUCGAAAUGACACUUACCCCACCACUUACAAGUUGUGAGGAUAAAGCCCUUAAAAACAUGAUAUGAUGUAAUAAAUUUGGAAGUCAUUAUUUAUUUAAUGAUGUUCCGAUUUCACUUUUAUCUAUCCUUAUUCCAUAUAUUAUACUUUAUGAGCAUUCUUGCCUGCAUCUUUUGCAUUGCACGUAACUUAGGUGCAUUAAGAGUUGCACAGAAGAUCUAGGUCAUGGGUUCCUUGCAAAUAUAUGACUUGUUCACAACCAGUUCAUGGGUCUAGGAAGCCCAUUAGGGGUUGUAAUAAUCCACUUCCUAAUUGGAAGAAUGGCUAGUCUUAGCUAUUGGGAUGAGUUUCCCAUGGUAAGUGCAUUAGUGUGUAUGAUUACAUAUUGGACAUGACCUAUGGUGAAUCAUGAAUUAAGGUUAUCAAGCAGUCAUGACCUCAUCAAACUACUUCAUUAUAUUGUCUCUCAACCUUGAGAGAAUAUCGAGCUCGUACUAAAGUUAGCAAUGACUUUGACAUACGAGUGAGAUCGUAAGUUGAUCAUAUAUUCCCUAUGGAUUGAGUCAUUGUUGAUGGAAAAUGGUAGCAAUAGGUAUUUUCAAUAAAAACACCAUGAUGUCUCUUGGGAUUAAGACAAUGUGCCCCUUUUGGUGAUCCUAAAGAGGUGUGUUUAUGGAAACUAUGGUCAUAGUAGUUCCUUAAGUAAAACUCGACAUAGGCUCUUUGAGAGCUAAGACAUGUCAAUUGAAUACACAAUAGAAGGAUUUAUAACUCAAGGAUGGUAGAGGUAGUCUUGAAAGACUAAUAACUUUUACUUUGUUAGACUAUGAAUAUCAGUUCAUGGGAAGACUAAACACAAUAAAUAGCAAGUCACAAACCUGAACAUUUGGUAUCUCAUUGUUAUUUUCAAUAAAAUAACAAUGAGAUGGUAAGUUGAUCAUAUAUACCCUAUGGAUUGGGUUAUUGUUGAUGGAAGAUGGUAGCAAUAGGUAUUUUCAAUAAGCACCAUAAUAUCUCUUGGGAUUAAGAUAGUGUGCCCCCUUGGGUAAUCUUAAAAAGUGUGUUCAUGGAAACUAUGGUCAUAGUAAUUCAUUAAGUAAAACUCAACAUAGGCUCUUUGAGAGCUAAGACAUGUCAAUUGAAUACACAAUGGAGGAUUUAUAACUCAAGGAUGAUAGAGGUAGCCUUGAAAGACUAAUAACUUUCACUUUGUUAGACUACGAACAUCAGUUCAUGGGGAGACUAAACACAAUAAAUAGCAAGUCACAAGCUCGAGCAUUUGGUAUCUCGUUGUUAUUUACAUAAGAUACGGGAGUUCAAUUGAUUCUCUGUAGUGGGAUGUUGAAUCAACUUUAGAAUUGGAUUUUGAGAGAGUCGGUAUUCUUAUGGGUUCCAAUGGUCCUUGCUCUAAGCUUAUAUACUUUGUUGGCAUGGGUUAUAAGAGUCGGAUUGACUCUAGGUUCACUUUUGUACAUAAAGGCAUUUUGAUAAUUACACAAGGUUACACAAAGGUAAGUGAACAAGGUUUUUAAAUUGGGUUAAUUGAUUAAUUAGUAGGCCUUGUUUAGUUAAUUAAUCAAUUAGGACUUUUUUUGGGCUAUAUUAAGUGACCUAAGCCCUUAGUGGGCUCAAGUCACUUAAACCUAAUAGAAAACCCUUUAAAUACCCCCUUAAGGGUUAGAGUUUAUAUAGUUUUUCUAAAGAGCCAUCUUCUAUCUCUAGAGAGAAAGAGAAAGAGUCAUAGCGUCCACCCUCCCUUCUAUCUCCACUAAAAGUGUGUCAAGAUCAAGGUUCAAGUCAUUGGGAGGAAGACUUUGGAUUUACGAGACUUCUGUGAUUUCGUUCUUCAUUUUCACCACGUGGAUUUGAUUUGAGAACAUACGAAUUUGAGGUAUGGUUUUCAUUAGCACUUUCUGAAUCCCUUUAAAGUUUAAAAAUGUUAUUUUUCCGUUGUGUAUAGGAUUAAUUUAGAAAAUGCUUAGAAUAGUUAUGCAUGUUCGUAACCUGAUCUGAGCUUAGGAAAUGGAGAGAUCCUAGUUUUUUCCCUCAAUGUUUGUGCUCCAAAGUGUUGAGAUAGUUUAGAGGGUGACAUGAUGAUUAACAUAAUACCUUAUAUGGAGAACCUAGUGAAUCCCUUCUCCAAGACAUUGAUAGGGAGAGUCUUUGCUAGUCACAUGGAUAGCAUAGGUUUCAGAUGAGUAUUUGGCAUGCUUUAAAGGCAUGAUACUUUGAGGGCUAAUAGGAGAAUGUUAGGAUAAAGCCCUUAAAAACAUGACAUGAUGUAAUAAAUUUGGAAUUCAUUAUUUAUUUAAUGAUGUUUUAGUUUCACUUUUAUCAAUCCUUAUUCCAUGUAUUAUACUUUAUGAGCAUUCUUGUCUGCAUUUUGUGCAUUGUACAUGACUUAAUUGCAUUAGGAGUUAUAUAGAAGAUCUAAGUCAUGGGUUUCUUGCAAAUAAAUGACUUGUUCACAACUGAUUCAUGGGUCUAGGCAACCCACUAGAGGUUAUAGUGCACCAUACCACCUUCUAAUUGGAGGGAUGACUAGUCUUAAUUAUCAGGAUGAGUUUCCCAUUGUGAGUGCAUUACUGUGUAUGGUUACACAUUAGACAAAACCUACAGUGAGUCAUGGCUUAAGGCUAUCAAGUAGUCAUGUCCUUACCAACCAACUUCAUUAUGUCGUCUCUCAACUUUAAGAUAAUAUUGAGUUUAUACUAAAGUUAGCAAUGGCUUUGACCUACAGGUGAAAUCAUAAGCUAAUCAUUUGGGUCAUUGUUGAUGGAAGUCGGUAGCAAUAGGUAUUCUCAAUAGAAAUACCAUGAUAUCUCAUGGGAUUUAGACAGUGUGUCCCCUUGAGUAAUCUUAAGAAAGUGUGUUCAUACAAACUAUGACCAUAGUAGUUCCUUAAGUGGAACUUGACAUAGACUCUUUGACAACUAAGACAUGUCAAUUAAAUAUAUAAUUGGACGAUCUGUAACUCAAAGAUAGUAGAGGUAAUCUUUAAGGAUUGAUAACUUUCACUUUAUUAGACUACAGACACUAAUUCAUGGGGAGACUAAACAUAAUGGAUAGCAGGUCAUGGACCCGAGUACGUAAUAUCUCGUUGUUAUUUACAUAGGAUAUUGGAGUUCAAUUGAUUCUCUAUGGUGGAAUGUUGAAUCAACUUUAGAAUUGGAUUUUGAGGAAGUCAGUACUCCUAUGGGUCCCAAUAGUCCACACUCUAAGCUCAUAUAACCUAUUGACACGGAUUAUGAGGGUCGGAUUGGCUUUAGGUUCAUUUUUGUGUAUAAGGGCAUUUUGAUAAUUACACAAGGUUGCAUAAGGGUAAGUGGACAAGGUCUCUAAAUUGAACUAAUUGAUUAAUUAAUAGGCCUUAUUGGGUUAAUUAAUCAAUUAGGACCCAUUUUGAGUUAGAUUAAGUGACCCAAGCCCAUGUGGGCUCAAGUCACUUAAGCAUACUUAGGAACCCUAUAUAUACCCCCUAAGGUUUAGGGUUCCCACAACUUUUGUCCUCCACCUGUUAGGAUAGAGCCCUUAAAAGUAUAACAUGAUGUAAUAAAUUUGGGAUUCUUUAUUUAUUUAAUGAUGUUCUAGUUUCACAUUAUUUAUUUAAUGUGAAGACAUUUGGAACCCAUCUCUCCUUCACAGAUUUAUCCAAAAGUUGCAUGCUCUGACUCAAGUUUCCAUGCAUACACAACCCUCUGAAGUGAUCAUCAACUCCAUUACCUUAGUAGUUUUUUCCAUGUCAAGCAUACAGUUAGUUUUGAGAGCGAGACCCAUUUUCACUAUGAACUCAAUGACUGUGCUUCGAUCAACUAGUUUGGCAUUUUCAUUUCUUUAUGGCAACCAAAUUUGGACUAGAUCUAACACUUGGCAGGCCAAAGGGCAUGAAUCAAAAACAGAGGAAAGCGACGGAAAAAAAAAAAAAAAACAAAGCACAAAUGGUUGAAACAAAACGAACUAAUAAAAGCCACAUUUUAUGUUUCAAUCAACCGACUUAGAUGUAGGUGAGUGAAACUAAAAAGAUUUUAAACAAGAACACAAGUAUUAUUCAGACAUUCUAUAGGAAAGCUACAACAGAGAUAAAUCAUGCUCAAACAUAACCAAAGGAAAUGAGGCAUGAAUCAACUAUAACCAAAUCACAGAAACCAAGAGAUUAACAAUAACAAGUGUGUGUCCUACGAUUAUCCAGACCCAAAACAUGGAAAAUUUUAGAAUCUAAUUGAUAAAUGAAAGAAAAAAAUGGAAAAAAUGGAGAUGAAGAAAAUUAAAUACACAAUUUAAAGGACUGAGAACCUGACCUGAACUCUUCUCUAAGAUUUAGCAAUUUAUGAAUGUAUCUUCAGGCCCCUGUAGACGAAUCCAUGCUUGGUGGUAGUAUGCUUAUUGAUGACAGUCUGGAGAUGUGGAAAUCAAAUGAUUCUGAUGAACUAAAUUUGAUGCGUGAUGAGAUAGAUGACGUGUUAUCUAAGGAUCACAAAGUUCAUCAAUAGAAACUCGUUUGAUGAUGCGUCAAUCUGAUGGAGAGAAUUCGUUGAUAAAAAAUGAUGAAAUGCCAAUUUGAAGAUAGUGACUGCGAUUCAUCUCCGGAGAUGAAUCUAAUGAGAACGUUCAGGAGUCAUAAAUGGAGAGUGUAGGGACCCCUCCCCUUGGGAAACACGUGGCACGCAGCUCAUAGUGACGCGUGGCACGUGUUAUCAGCCGGACCGUCAUUAUCCGGAUUCCCCUAAGGAUAUGCAUGGUGCAGAUAUCCUAUCCGGACCGCCUCAAGGAAAGGCAAACGACGUUUCAUCUUCUCCUAUCCAAGGAAGAGCAAACGACGUUGGCAGAGCGUACACAUCCGGAUAGUCUCCACAACACAUCCGGAUAGUCAACAUGAGCCAUCCGGAUAUAAAUCUUCUGGAUGGUCAAUUAAAGUAAAGCGAGUCUUACACGCAAUCACAACAAGCAGCCAUGGCCCACAUCCCAUCACCUGCAGAAUGAGAAGACAAGAGGAAGUGACAGCAAGUCACUUCCCACGAUCAUUCUGCAUAAUCGCUUCCCACGAUCUCUGACGGCCGCAUCACCUACCAUAGUCUCUGACAGCCAUUCAUAGGAUGAUAGUGCUCCUACUAACACCUAUUGUCAUCAUCACAACAGAAAAGAUCUCCUCACCAUUAAUGAGAGGAACAGUACCCCUGAAGCUGGAUAUAUAUACCUUCGCACGAAGAAGAAAGGGGAUCUCCUGGUAAUCUCUUGAUACCUAGAAAAAGGCCAACUGAUUUAUAUAUCUCUUUCUCACCAUGGCUAACAAAACCAUCGGAGGGUGCGUCCGGACACCCUGUCCGAAUGCCUUUUGCAGGUGCAACCACUGAAUCAAGAACCCCUUGUGUGUUGAGAAUCACGUAUCCAUCCAUAUAGCAGCAACGUGGACCAUCGGAUACGCGAGGUGACAACAGAGAGCUCUAAUGGCGGUGGUGAUUUGCAGCAAUGUCAAUCUCUGGUGGCAGUGACAGCAAGCUCUAAUGGUGGUAAACUACGCCAACAGAGACAAUCUCCAUGAAUUGCACAACAAACUUCAAUGGCGAUCUCCAAUGGUGGUGAUGAAUUCUCCUACAACAAUGAACUCUCAUUCUCCUGUAGAGAUGAACUCUCAGAUGUUGGUGAAUUAUUUUUAUAUAUUUUUUUAAUAAAUUUUAAAUGAAAUAAAAUAAAUAAAUUUUAAAUUUUUAUACAUUUUUUUAAACUCAUUUAACUUAUUUUAAUUUUUCAAUUAUAAAAUUAAAUAAUUUGAAAAUAUAUAAAUUUCUAACUAAUUUUAAUUAUAUUUUAUUUUCUUUUAUAAUUUUCAUAUAUAGUAUAACCAGUACCAAUGUUUUCAAAAUCAGACCGGCGCUUGAACCAGAAAAGUUACCAGUUCAUGAUUUACGGUUCAUUAGUUGAACUGGUGGUCAAACCGCGGUCGAAUCAAUGACAUCAUAAAUAAUAAUUUUUUUUCUUUUUUCUCACUAACUAAUCCCACAUCAGAAAUGGAUAAAAAAUAUGUAGGAAUUGUGGUAUAAAAGGCAAGCUAGAAUCAUUAACUUGCAAGACUAAAAGCUUAUUGGGCUUGAUGACAAACGGGUUGGAUGGGCUCCUCAUGGAAUGAUCCGGUUCUCUUAUGGUAUCAAAACUUUUUUUUUUGGCUUUAAAAUAAAUAAAUAAAUAAACUGUUCGGUUCGCUAAGAAUCGCCCGAUUGGGGCAGUUCACUAGUUCAACCGCUGGUUUUGUUACCGAUCGGACCAACUGGUCCAGUCCGAUUUUUAAAUCAUUAUCAAAUACAAUAAAAUAAUUUUCCUUAACAUUUCUUUUAUUUUUUUAAGUACUUCUCAAGAAUCAAACAUAAUCAUAAGACUAAUCAUAUUUUUUAUUAUAAGAUCAUUCGAAUACAAUGCCCCAAGUGAGAAUCUCAAAACGUUUGUCAAUGUUUUACUAAUAUUAAGAUUUUGAAAAUCUAUACAAUUUCUUUUUCUUUUUUUCUUUUUUUAAUAUUUGGAUGAUAGAGCAUGAGUAUACAAGAAAGGUCAAUGCAAAGAUCAAUGUCUACAAUCUUGAAAUUGCACUUCUAGAGUUGGGCCCUAAAAGAGAACCCAAUAGGGGGGAGGGGUAGCAUAUAAACCUUCCUCAAUGGGCAUGGCAACACCUUGGAGAAGGAAAGUUAUAAGUGAAAGCACUGGAUGAGGAGAUCAUGGCACAAUGCUACUUCAAAAAAAUGAGUACUAUGUUCCCAAUAAUCAAACUUUAUCAUGAAAAUGUUGAUAAUAGCGAGGAUUAUCUUAUUUACAAGUAUAGAGACAAAUAGGCAAAAGGUAAAUAAAUUAUUAAUAGAGCUUAAAAUAAUAAAUUAAGCAAAUAAACAUAUGGUAAGAUCGAAACUCAUUAUCCUUCUACUAAAUAAAAUUCUAAUACCAUAUUGGAUAACUAAAUUUUUUAAGAACUUAAACUUAAGAUUUGGAUCCUUAUGAUUGUAUAUCACAUUUUCUAAUAAUAUAUCAAAUACUUUUCUAGAUUUUGUGUUGACUUGUGAUUACUUCUCUAAAUCAAUUUUUCAGCAUCUUGUAUAUAUGUAUUUGUUAGGAUGAAUCUGUCACGCCCCAAGACCCACUCCAAGGGCGUGACGGUCAUUUCACACCUCAAACCCGAAGGCUUAAAGUAUAAUCUGACCCAAACAAUCAUAUUGUAACUGGAUGUUACCAAUUACCAAAUACCUGUUCAGAGUAGCGGAACAAAAUCUAAAAUCCUCAAAAUUCAAUUUCCAAAUAACUUCCAAAUAUCAAAUGAUCCAAAUGAACAUAACUAACAGUUAAACAAAAUCCAACAUAAAAUCCUAAGUCAAAUCCUAAUGAUGACCAUUCCUCAGCCUAGCCAUCACUCCUCACCCGAACUAAGAGUACCUGAAAAAUUUUCAACAAUUGGGAAUGAGCUCACAGCCCAAUAAGGAAUAUUAAUGCAAUUCAUGGAUCAAAUAUUUUCAUUUCAAAUAGGAGAUAUCAAUUUUUUUUUUUCUCAUCGAAUAUCAGAGUUUCAAAAAUACCAAUAUAUUCAAAAUUCAACCAACCAAUUUCAUAUCAAAUUCAAACACUUUCACAUCAGACUCAAUCAAAUCCAUUCAAUUUUUUCAUUACUCUGGUUAUCAAAUAUCAAAUGCCCAGUUAGGUGGGACUUUUCAAAUGGGUGGCUAGCCUCAAAUUGUUCCUGGUGGACGAAACCAAACACUACUAGUACUAGUAACCUCUAACCAAACCCCUAGAGGCUGGGGUCCAAAUCAAUUACAUUCCCACCAUGAAAUGUAAAGGUCAACUAUUAUAGCCCGUUGACAGGGCCGAAUAGUCAACUAUUAUAUCCCGUUGACAAGGGCCAAACAAACCAGAGUGAUGUUUUUGUUCAAGUAUUCAAAUUUACACAACAUAAUAUCUCCAUAUUUUGUGUCAUAAAUAAAACAAAAUAUUCCAACAUAAUAUUCAGUGCAAAACAAUUUGAUCCAUGCAUGGUAACAAAAUAUCAUUUUCUUUUCCACAAUUCAAAAUAACAUAUAAAAUAAUUUAAUUUUAUAAAUAUUGCAUUAACUUCCCUUACCUCAAAAGAAGUCCUUGAAAGCUUGGGAGAAGAAUAAUUCUGAAAAAAAUAUAAUCUACUCUUCACCUAAUAUAACAUAAGAGAAACAAUUAUUACUAUUUAUUUAUAAUUUAACUAAUUUAUUCCUUAUUUAAAUAAAACUAAUAAAUUCCCAAUUUGUUUCUAAUAACACACUACUAAUUUAAUUAAAUUACAAUUUUAUUUCAUUAUAAAAUUCUAUAUAUAUAUAUAUAUAUAUAUAUAUAUAUAUAUAUAUAUAUAUAUAUAUAUUGCUAAAUCUAUUAUUACUAUUAUCUUAAUUAUUAAUCUGAAACUAAAUAUCAUUAUUUUAUUAAUUACCUAAUUUGAGGCUAAAUCAUUAUUACAAAAAAUAUAUUAUUAUAUAUUUUGCUAAAUCUCUUACAUGUAUGGGGUACACACCAAACAAGUAAAACAAAGCAAAAAAAUUUUUUUUUUCCAUUGCCAUCAUCAUAAUAAUGAAUCAUUAUAUAUAUAUAUAUAAGUCUCCUUCCAUCCGGGCACACGCCCAAAUUUUUUUUUUUUUUAUUUUCCUUCCUUCCAAUGCUGUGCACACGCGUUCUCCUUUUUUUUUUUUUUUUAAUUAACCCUAACCUAAAAUUGAAAUAUUCCAAGGAAUUUUUUUUUUCUAAUAAAACUUAAGAUCUCCCAAAUUCCAAUACUAAAAUCAAAAUAUUAAAUUUUCACUAUUUGAUAUUAAAACGAAUUAAAAAAAAUAAUCUAACCCUAAUCUAGAUUUGGGGUUUUCCAAAAAAAAUAUAUCUAAUGUGUUUGAAAUUAAUCAAUGAAUCUAAAAUAUUAAACUAGGGGUUAGAAUCUUACCUAUAGAGAUUUUUUCUUCAACCCUGAAAUCUGACUCCAACCUUACGUUUUCUGAAAUUCUGCGAAUAGGAACUCUAUUCAGAAAAGAAGGGAAAAAAUAAAAUUUCUAAUUUAUACCUAGGGUAUUUAUUCGUAAAAUUACACUUUUACCCCUCUUCCACUUUAUUAAAUUAAUUAAUUAACUAAUUAAAUUAUUAAUAACAAUUUCCUAAAUUACCCUUAAAAGAAAAUGCCUGGGCGUUACAGAAUCAAUUAUCAAUGAAUGCAAAAAUGCAACUCCUCAUAGAGUCUCUUGCUUAUUUCCUCUACAACUUAAUUAGAAAAACUUAAAAGAACUCCAGAGUGAUUUCACAAAGAAAUAGGAUAAUUAUUUUAUCUUCAAACCUGCAAAAAAGAUAUGGAAACCGUAUCAUUGAAAUAAUUAAAACAGAAAACAAUUGGAAUCAAAGUGCUAUUGCCUUAUUUUAAAAACAAAAAAUAAAUAAAAUAAAUCUUAGGUUUUAUGCAAAACUAAAUAUUAGUUGCCUAAAGCUCCUUAUUUGGAAUACUAGAUGGGUGUCAAGCAUCAUUUCAACUCGGCACCUCCUUCGGUAAAUACCAAAAAUAAUAUUUGUUUUGGGAACAAGACUAGAGUUUUGAGCGGAUAUAAUAUAUUUUAAAAAAAUACACAAAAUAGAUUUCCAAGUAAAAUAAUUCUCAAGCUAGUAUAUUUCAGCUACAUGGGCAUCCAUAUGGUCGUAGAUUUUUUUUUUUUUAAUGUUGGUCUAUGUCAUAAAACUUUAAUUAGUAACUACGAUUUUGAUUUUUUAAAACAUAAAAUGAUAGUUAGAUAUUAUAGUUUUAAAUUUAUUUUUAAAAUCAUAAUCAUCAAUUACGAUUAUAAACUUAAAUUUAAAACCUUAGUUGGUAACUAAUGUUUUGACCGUUUUACAACAAAAUCAAAAUUAUAGUUCACAACUAUGAUCAUGUGAUAUAGAUACAAGUGUCAAUAAAACACUCCAAUUUGAAAAUUAUUUUGAGAGGGGAUCUACUUUGUAGAUUUUUAUUUGUUCAAAUAAAUUAUUUUUCCUCAAGGCUUAGAAAACUAACUUGUUUAGAACUAAAUUCAAUUAUACACUCUCCUAAUUUUUCUUUUUAUAAGAUCAAAUCCACGUUAUCAGUUUUCCACUAGAAUCCUCAUGAUUACUUGUAGAAUUGUUGAGAUGAAAUGGAAGUGUGGUAUGAGAUGCAUGCUUGUUUAAACUUCAGUUUCAAUCUUGGUCAAUGCUGUCCAUUCCCUUAGAUGUGCAGGAUGUGGAACCACUGCUGGAUCCUGUUGUGAGACUUGACCAUCAAUAUCCUUUUGGACUUGUGAAAGCAACCUUCCCCCGUUUUCUUGACGCAACCUGCUACUUCCACGUGAGCAUGCCAAACACGCUUAGGGCCUGUUUGUUGGUGUUUUCAAAUACAUUUUUGGAAACAGUUUUUACUGUUUUCAGAAAUAAAAUUAUGUUUAUUUAUUCUCAAAAAUAAAAAGAAUAAAAAAAAAAUAUUUAGUUCAGUUAAUAAAAAUAAUUUUUAAUAACAAAUAAAACAAAAAAACUUGUUUGGAAAAUAUUAUUGUUGGUUUUGUUUUUUAAAGUUGAGUAUUUUAUUUAACUAAUUGAUAUUGUAAAUAUAUAAAUAAUUUUUCUUCGUAAAAAUAAAAAUGUUCCAUUCUAAACAUUUUUUGCAUCGGUUUUAAUUUUUUUAAACAAAUUAUUACUUUGUAAACAUGUCUAAAUAUGUUUGAUUUCAAUAAUUGAUAAACCAUCUUAUCAAAAUAUCAUAAAUCGGUAAAUAUCAAUAAUUGGAUUUUAUGAAGAUAAAAUUUAUGAUAUCAAAUAAUAAUGCAUUAUACUUGGAAACCGAUGAUUUAUCUUUUCUACUAAUAAUAUAUUUAUGAUAAUUUUUUAUUUAAAAAUAUUUAUAAUUUUAUUUUAUAUUUAAGAAUUAUAUAAAAGAUAAAAAAAUUAAAGUAAAUCAAACUAAUUUAUUUAUAAAAAAUUAUUAAUUUUUAUAAAUUUACAUAUUAUAUAUAUAUAUAUAUAUAUAUAUACGACAGGAAUCCUUGUACUCUUUUCUCUCAUUCUCCUUAUGUUCUCCGUUUAUCUUCCAAGGCCCAAACUUUUAUUCACUAAGGUUGAACCAUUUCUCUCCUCAAAUAUUAACUCACUAAAGUCAAAAUUUAGAUCUAUGAUUGUUGUUAAGAUUCUUGGUUAGGAUUUCAUCUUUUGUGUUAUUGUUUAUGUUUUUGUUUGGUUUUUGAGAAAUCCUAGAAUUUAUGAAAGUUUCUGCUUUGAAAUACAUUAAAAAAAAUCAUAUCAGGAUAAAAUCCCAAAAUAUCCGAAAAAUAUUGAAAUGGAAAUGAAGAAAAAAUAAAUAUAAAUAAAACUUGUUGAUUAAGUUGAAUUUUUUUUAAACCGAAUUUUCAAUUUUCUAAUUUUUCUCAUUUUCCUUGGCAGUGUAAAAAAAAAAAAAAGAUAAGAGCACAUAGAGAACACGACAACAACACAAAAAACAUCAUUUUAAAACCAGGUUUUAGAAAACACAUAAAACACUUGAGAACAAAAAACACUCUUUUAUAAAACAUGAUUUUUGUGUUUUUUGUUCUAAAAAAAGAAAACAAUUUUUGGAAAUACCAACCAAACAAGCCCUUAAUGACUCAUUUUUCUUUUAUUUAUUUAUUUUAUUUUUUUGCUUAUUUGUUUAUUCUCUUGUCUGUUUUUAUUUUUAAAGAAAUAAAAAUAUUUUUCAAAAAAAUAAAAAAAAUAAAAUUAAAGAAUGUUCUCCAAACUAAAUGAAUAUUAUAGAACCCGACCAACAACAUACUAAACAAAAUGUAAAAAUCUAAAAAUAUGUUUGGUAGUAAUUGUUUUUAAUAUUUUUAAUACCUAAAAAUGAAAAAAUUUAGUGUUAAAAAAUGAAAAAUAUUUUAUAAAAUCACUGUAAAACUUAUUCUAAAUUAUUGAACUAAAUACGAAAAUAACAUAUCAUGCACGAAAAUAAGAUGAAGCAAAAAUAACUUGUAAUGUACACCUUGGGAAACACAUGAUAUUUUAGCAUCGUGUAGCAGAUUGCAAAAUCAAAUUUCGUGAGGAAUCAGGUGCCCAUAAAUCUCGUAUCUUCAUAAUGGCAUAUAGAGGAAAGUCAAGGUAAACGAAACCAUCAUAUUCUUCAACUUGCAGCCAACCAAAUAUGUUCAAGUCCAUUCAAUACAGUCCAUAAAAAUUUUAUUUUAUUUUUACAAAUUUUUUUUUCUUUCUAGAAUUCGAAUCUGAGCCUCACGACUAAAACCGAAUACGUACAAAGCAUCUAUUCUAAAAAUAAAAAAAUUAAAUUGAAUUAAAAAUUUUGGAUAUUAUAAAGCAGAAUACGUACAAAUUCUGUUGAAAGGUGAGUCAUAACAGUUAAAAAUUUAUAUAUAAUUUUUAUAUAUAUUUUAAUUAGUUUUCAAUUUUGGAUAUUAUCAAAUAAAAUUUUUAUGUAUAAUUUACUUUAGUCAGUAUUGUCCAACAUAAUUAAAUAAUACCAUGGUGGCUUAGGUUAAUUCCAAAAUGAUGGUAAUGGACUAAUGACAGAAAAAUUAUCAUACAAAAUACCUAGGCAACCAUAGGUGAAAAAAAAAGUAAUAUAAAUUCCAUAUAUUAUUAUUUAAUAUUAAUUUUCAGUCACCAUCAUAUGAUUUUUCAUAAAAUAAAAUAAAAAGGUAAAAAGUAAAUGUUCAUUAUGUUUGUUAGUAUAGUAUCAAAAGAAACUUAUUAAAUUUUUAGAAAUAUAAUUUAGAUUUAAAAGUAAUUGUAAAAAUUUGAAAAUAAGACUUAUAUUAUGAAAACAUUAAAAAAUAUUAUAAUUUAACCACAAAGAUAAUGAGUAUGACUAAGAUCGACGAUUAGGAAAAGAGAUUUUAUAAAAAAAAAAAUAUAUAUUUUGAAGUAUCUUACAUGGAUCAUUGAUUUUUAUUCAAAUUUUAAACAAAUUCAUACUAAUUUGGUUCUGGUUCUACUUGUUUCUGGUUCAAAAUGAGUUCAACGACACCUGGCCAACGGAGAUUGGUAAUUUGGCGAAUCUUGAACAAUUGGCCAUGGCCUAUAAUGACAAAUUCCGGCCUUCAGCCCUUCCAAAAGAGUUUGGCGCAUUGAAGAAGCUGAAAUAUCUGUGGAUGACGGAGGCGAAUUUGAUUGGCGAAAUACCGGAGAGCUUCAACAAUCUAUCGAGUCUGGAACUCUUGGACCUCUCAGUCAACAAAUUGGAAGGUACGAUCCCGGGAGGCAUGCUUACGUUGAAGAAUUUGAACUAUUUGCAUUUAUUCAUUAAUAGAUUGUCCGGCUACAUUCCUUCAUCCAUAGAAGCUCUCAACUUGAAACAAAUUGAUCUUUCCGACAACCAUUUGACGGGGUCCAUACCAGCGGGUUUCGGGAAGCUACAAAAUUUGACGGGUUUGAAUCUUUUCUGGAAUCAGUUGUCAGGAGAGAUACCAGCAAAUAUAAGCCUCAUUCCUACACUGGAAACCUUCAAAGUUUUUAGCAAUCAAUUGAGUGGAGUUUUGCCCCCAGCAUUUGGCCUUCAUUCGGAGCUCAAAUUCUUUGAGAUUUUUGAGAAUAAACUAAGUGGGGAAUUACCUCAACAUUUAUGCGCUAGGGGGGCUUUGCUUGGAGUGGUCGCUUCCAACAACAAUCUCAGCGGGGAAGUGCCCACGUCCCUCGGGAAUUGCACAAGUUUGCUCACCAUUCAGCUUUCCAACAAUCGUUUUUCAGGCGGGAUUCCUUCCGGCAUCUGGACAUCCCCGAACAUGGUAUCGGUGAUGUUAGAUGGAAAUUCAUUCUCAGGGACACUUCCAAGUAAAUUGGCAAGGAAUUUGUCUAGAGUGGAGAUCGCUAACAACAAGUUUUAUGGUCCAAUUCCUGCUGAAAUCUCUUCCUGGGUGAACAUCUCUGUGCUCAAUGCCAGCAACAAUAUGUUGUCUGGAAAAAUUCCAGUGGAAUUGACCAGUCUUUGGAACAUCACUGUUCUGUUGCUUGAUGGGAAUCAAUUCUCGGGUGAACUUCCAUCCCAGAUCAUCUCAUGGAAGUCUUUCAAUAAGUUAAAUCUCUCAAGAAACAAACUUUCUGGCCUAAUUCCCAAGGCAUUAGGUUCUUUAACCAGCCUUAGUUACCUCGACCUGUCAGAAAACCAGUUCUCAGGUCAAAUUCCUCCUGAACUUGGCCAUUUGAACCUUAUUAUCCUCCAUCUUUCGUCCAACCAACUCUCUGGGAUGGUCCCCAUUGAGUUUCAACAUGAAGCAUAUGAAGACAGUUUCUUGAAC